rnacentral:lncRNA from 1 species
GGAAGUGGGAGUGGGUGGACCUCCGUGGGGAGCCAGCGUGGAUAGAGUGCUGGGGUCAUCUCCCCGCCCCCUCCGCACGGCCAACACCGAGGUGACUUAAGGUGCCUAGUGUCGGUGUGAGGUCCAGGUUUAAAAUGUCAUCCCCGCCAGUGUGACAUCACCACCGCCUAGUGUGACACGUCCAGAGACUGAGCAGCGCGCGGGGA